UGGGGAAUAUUGCACAAUGGGCGCAAGCCUGAUGCAGCGACGCCGCGUGAGGGAUGACGGCCUUCGGGUUGUAAACCUCUUUCAGUAGGGAAGAAGCGAAAGUGACGGUACCUGCAGAAGCAGCGCCGGCUAACUACGUGCCAGCAGCCGCGGUAAUACGUAGGGCGCAAGUGUUAUCCGGAAUUAUUGGGCGUAAAGAGCUCGUAGGCGGUUUGUCGCGUCUGCCGUGAAAGUCCGGGGCUCAACUCCGGAUCUGCGGUGGGUACGGGCAGACUAGAGUGAUGUAGGGGAGACUGGAAUUCCUGGUGUAGCGGUGAAAUGCGCAGAUAUCAGGAGGAACACCGAUGGCGAAGGCAGGUCUCUGGGCAUUAACUGACGCUGAGGAGCGAAAGCAUGGGGAGCGAACAGG
rnacentral:rRNA from 1 species